rnacentral:rRNA from 1 species
UACGGAGGGUGCAAGCGUUGCUCGGAAUCACUGGGCGUAAAGCGACCGCAGGCGGCCUGACAAGUCGGAUGUGAAAGCCCUGGGCUCAACUCAGGAACUGCAUUCGAAACUGGUAGGCUCGAGUACGGGAGAGGGGGGUGGAAUUCCUGGUGUAGCGGUGAAAUGCGCAGAUAUCAGGAGGAACACCAAUGGCGAAGGCAGCUCGCUGGGACGGUACUGACGCUGAGACGCGAAAGCGUGGGGAGCAAACAGG